GUUUAUUACCAGGACUGCUGGGGACCACUUUCUGCACUCCUUGCCAAUCAGGUGUUCAGCUCCUCCUUCACGUCAGGCAGCGGGGUUUCUGUCCUUGGUUGGUCCUCUCUGGAACUGUCAUGAUGACCAUCCUAUUUAGGGGGGCUUCACCUACAAGUCAAUCCCAUGCUAAUGGGGCACUGGGGUUAGUAGCUGGUCAGCAGUUACCUUAGUGCACCUGUGCUGCUAAAGGAAUCUUCCUUCCCAGACAAAGGGAGACACCCAUAGCCAUAACUCCUAGCUUCACACCAAUCUCAGUGCACCCUGUCAAGAGUUAGUCUCAUUGUUCCUUUUCUUUUGAUGUAUUUUUCCUUUUAGCUCCUUUGCUUUCUCAUCCAUUUUGAAAGUAGUUUAAAGAAGACCUUAAAGUAACUGAAAAAAUCCUUAUGACCUUGCCAUGCAUUUUACUGCUCAUGGCUAGCUACUACCUAACAAUGGCCACAUGGGAGCAUCCGCACCCCAGGAUGCAUUCACGGCCAUAGCUGUGAACGUGAGGCCUGUGGAGGUUUAGACUCCUCACCCUAAAAGUGGAAUUAACAGAAGGCCCGAGGCUCUGAUGUCCAGCAGAGACCAGCAUCUCCCCACCCACAGAGUUCAGAGGUCAGCCAAGACCAAACCCAACCUCAGAACUUCCAGUUUAGAAGGCUGUCGCAGCCUUGCCCAGGGGGUCAGCACUCCUGGGCUGUCCCCCUAUACAGGGAGACGGGGAGCUGAGAGCCACUGCACCAGCCUUGGCUCCUGGCCACAGUGGCUGGCAGCUCCAUGAGGACCACAAAGGGGUGGGACUUAACAACACCCGGCCCUUGACCCAGGGGUUACAGAGCCCCCCCCAAAAGCACAAAUAAUGAAAACCCAUCCUUGCCAACAGUUUUGACUAUGCCAGAGGAAACAAGCUCUGGAUAUCUCAUUAAGAAUUUUUUUUUUCUUUUUCCUAUUCUUUC
rnacentral:lncRNA from 1 species